UUGCGUACAAUGGACUCUAUGCACGGUCACUUCCGCAUUUUUCCCUCAGCCCUCGUGGGGCUUACUUAAAUCCGGUGCUGUGCCGAAAGCCAUUGUUCCUUACGUAGAGCUUUCAAAAUGACAAGAGGAGAAGAUAAUUUUUCAGUUUACAAGAACUUCCCCAGAUUACUGUAAAUGAAUUUAAUCGCACGGAGAAGGGCAUUAAACGUUUCAAGGUACAUCGACAACUUUAGGAUUGUUUUAAAGGACUCCCAUCCAUACUGUUGCAGCACUGUACCAGACAGCACACUAUUCAGAACUGAGAAUCAGUGCAGUUCCUCCUGUACAGAGCUGCACUGAAUGGAGCAGAACUGGCACAAACCUAGAAGAGAGUUAAGCAAGGUCCUGUCAGUGGGACGGUGGUCCUGUUUGCAAGAGAGGAAACUCGCUGAGUGGUUAAGGAGAAUGUUUACAGUGGCGUCACAGUGAUCUGCUUGGCCUAUCAGUCCUCCAAGUGGCAGAAGUGUUAAAAAACCAUAGCA